rnacentral:rRNA from 1 species
UACGGGGGGGGCAAGCGUUGUUCGGAAUUACUGGGCGUAAAGGGCUCGUAGGCGGCCAACUAAGUCAUACGUGAAAUCCCUCAGCUUAACUGGGGAACUGCGUGUGAUACUGGAUGGCUUGGAUUUGGGAGAGGGAUGCGGAAUUCCAGGUGUAGCGGUGAAAUGCGUAGAUAUCUGGAGGAACACCGGUGGCGAAGGCAGCCUCCUGGGCUAGUACUGACGCUCAUGCACGAAAGCGUGGGGAGCAAACAGG